UAAUAGGUUCGAGGUGGAAGCAUGGUGACAUGUGGAGCUGACGAAUACUAAUCGAUCGAAGACUUAAUCAAAUU
rnacentral:rRNA from 2 species